rnacentral:rRNA from 1 species
GUGAGGAAUAUUGGUCAAUGGGCGGGAGCCUGAACCAGCCAAGUCGCGUGAAGGAAGAAGGAUCUAUGGUUCGUAAACUUCUUUUGCAGGGGAAUAAAGUGCAGGACGUGUCCUGUUUUGUAUGUACCCUGAGAAUAAGGAUCGGCUAACUCAGUGCCAGCAGCCGCGGUAAUACGGAGGAUCCGAGCGUUAUCCGGAUUUAUUGGGUUUAAAGGGUGCGUAGGUGGUUUGAUAAGUCAGCGGUGAAAGUUUGCAGCUUAACUGUAAAAAUGCCGUUGAAACUGUCGGAGUUGAGUGUAAAUGAGGUAGGCGGAAUGCGUGGUGUAGCGGUGAAAUGCAUAGAUAUCACGCAGAACUCCGAUUGCGAAGGCAGCUUACUAAGCUACAACUGACACUGAAGCACGAAAGCGUGGGGAUCAAACAGGAUUAGAAGCCCUAGUAGUCC